rnacentral:rRNA from 1 species
GGGGGAUUUUCCGCAAUGGGCGCAAGCCUGACGGAGCAAGACCGCGUGAGGGAGGAAGGCUCUUGGGUUGUAAACCUCUUUUAUCAGGGAAGAAGAUCUGACGGUACCUGAUGAAUCAGCAUCGGCUAACUCCGUGCCAGCAGCCGCGGUAAUACGGAGGAUGCAAGCGUUAUCCGGAUUUAUUGGGCGUAAAGCGUCCGCAGGUGGUUUUACAAGUCUGCUGUCAAAGCGCGAGGCUUAACCUCGUACAGGCGGUGGAAACUGUGAGACUAGAGUAUGGUAGGGGUAGCGGGAAUUCCCAGUGUAGCGGUGAAAUGCGUAGAUAUUGGGAAGAACACCAGCGGCGAAAGCGCGCUACUGGGCCAUUACUGACACUCAUGGACGAAAGCUAGGGGAGCGAAAGGGAUUAGAUACCCCUGUAGUCCUAGCUGUAAACGAUGGAUACUAGGUGUUGCCCGUAUCGACCCGGGCAGUGCCGUAGCUAACGCGUUAAGUAUCCCGCCUGGGGAGUAUGCACGCAAGUGUGAAACUCAAAGGAAUUGACGGGGGCCCGCACAAGCGGUGGAGUAUGUGGUUUAAUUCGAUGCAACGCGAAGAACCUUACCAAGGCUUGACAUGUCGCGAACUCUUGUGAAAGUGAGAGGUGCCUUCGGGAGCGCGAACACAGGUGGUGCAUGGCUGUCGUCAGCUCGUGUCGUGAGAUGUUGGGUUAAGUCCCGCAACGAGCGCAACCCUCGUUUUUAGUUGCCAGCAUUCAGUUGGGCACUCUAGAGAGACUGCCGGUGACAAACCGGAGGAAGGUGGGGAUGACGUCAAGUCAGCAUGCCCCUUACGUCUUGGGCUACACACGUACUACAAUGCUACGGACAAAGGGUUGCGAGCUAGCGAUAGCAAGCUAAUCCCAUAAACCGUGGCUCAGUUCAGAUUGCAGGCUGCAACUCGCCUGCAUGAAGGAGGAAUCGCUAGUAAUCCCAGGUCAGCAUACUGGGGUGAAUACGUUCCCGGGCCUUGUACACACCGCCCGUCACACCAUGGGAGUUGGCCACGCCCGAAGUCGUUACUCCAACCUUUCGAGGAGGAGGAUGCCGAAGGCAGGGCUGAUGACUGGGGUGAAGUCGUAACAAGGUAGCCGUACCGGAAGGUGUGGCUGGAUCACCUCCUU